AAUUGCUGAUCUAUUUUUCACUUGUAAUUUUAAGGAUACAGAGAAGAUUAGCAUGGCCCCUGUGCAAGGAUGACAUGUAUUCAUGAAAGGUUCCAUACUUCU
rnacentral:snRNA from 1 species